rnacentral:lncRNA from 1 species
UCAAACCACCAAUCACAAUCCCACCCGUCAUCCCUCCCGUUGUCAAACCACCAAUCACAAUCCCACCCGUCAUCCCUCCCGUUGUCAAACCACCAAUCACAAUCCCACCAAUCGUAAAACCACCUAUCGAAAUCCCACCAGUGAUUCCCCCAGUUGUGAAACCACCGAUCACAUUACCACCAGUCGUAAUCCCUCCGGUGAUUCCCCCGAUUGUGAAACCACCAGUGGAGAUUCCCCCGAUCACCACCAAGCCCCCGAGCAAGGGAACACCGUGCCCGCCACCACCCGGAAAACCAGCUCCUAAGGACACUUGCCCCAUCGACACA